UAUGCUACGUUGGUCUCACCGAGGACCAUAAGGAAUCUGCAGCAAUGUUUGCAUGUGGUCGGUGCACAAUUAAUUUCUCAACUGAGAGGAUCUUGCUCUGUGGUUCGCAGACUGUGGCAACAAAUAAAUCAGAACAGAGCUCCUUGUCAGACAGCGAACCUGAUGACGAAUACUGUCAGAAUGAAACUUUGGAAUUGCUGAAGGUAAACAAUGAAGCAAGUAAUUUCCUUACC